rfam:Camelus ferus unplaced genomic scaffold scaffold2716, whole genome shotgun sequence.
GAGGGUAUAGCUCAGUGGUAGAGUGCGUGCUUAACAUGCAAAGUCCUGGGUACAAUCCCCAGUAGCUCCA